rnacentral:rRNA from 1 species
AUGAACGCUAGCUACAGGCUUAACACAUGCAAGUCGAGGGGCAGCAUUUCAGUUUGCUUGCAAACUGGAGAUGGCGACCGGCGCACGGGUGAGUAACACGUAUCCAACCUGCCGAUAACUCGGGGAUAGCCUUUCGAAAGAAAGAUUAAUACCCGAUGGCAUAAUUAGACCGCAUGGUCUUAUUAUUAAAGAAUUUCGGUUAUCGAUGGGGAUGCGUUCCAUUAGGCAGUUGGUGAGGUAACGGCUCACCAAACCUUCGAUGGAUAGGGGUUCUGAGAGGAAGGUCCCCCACAUUGGAACUGAGACACGGUCCAAACUCCUACGGGAGGCAGCAGUGAGGAAUAUUGGUCAAUGGGCGCAGGCCUGAACCAGCCAAGUAGCGUGAAGGAUGACUGCCCUAUGGGUUGUAAACUUCUUUUAUAUGGGAAUAAAGUUUUCCACGUGUGGAAUUUUGUAUGUACCAUAUGAAUAAGGAUCGGCUAACUCCGUGCCAGCAGCCGCGGUAAUACGGAGGAUCCGAGCGUUAUCCGGAUUUAUUGGGUUUAAAGGGAGCGUAGGUGGACAGUUAAGUCAGUUGUGAAAGUUUGCGGCUCAACCGUAAAAUUGCAGUUGAUACUGGCUGUCUUGAGUACAGUAGAGGUGGGCGGAAUUCGUGGUGUAGCGGUGAAAUGCUUAGAUAUCACGAAGAACUCCGAUUGCGAAGGCAGCUCACUGGACUGCAACUGACACUGAUGCUCGAAAGUGUGGGUAUCAAACAGGAUUAGAUACCCUGGUAGUCCACACAGUAAACGAUGAAUACUCGCUGUUUGCGAUAUACAGUAAGCGGCCAAGCGAAAGCAUUAAGUAUUCCACCUGGGGAGUACGCCGGCAACGGUGAAACUCAAAGGAAUUGACGGGGGCCCGCACAAGCGGAGGAACAUGUGGUUUAAUUCGAUGAUACGCGAGGAACCUUACCCGGGCUUAAAUUGCAUUUGAAUAAUCUGGAAACAGGUUAGCCGCAAGGCAAAUGUGAAGGUGCUGCAUGGUUGUCGUCAGCUCGUGCCGUGAGGUGUCGGCUUAAGUGCCAUAACGAGCGCAACCCUUAUCUUUAGUUACUAACAGGUCAUGCUGAGGACUCUAGAGAGACUGCCGUCGUAAGAUGUGAGGAAGGUGGGGAUGACGUCAAAUCAGCACGGCCCUUACGUCCGGGGCUACACACGUGUUACAAUGGGGGGUACAGAAGGCAGCUACCUGGUGACAGGAUGCUAAUCCCAAAAGCCUCUCUCAGUUCGGAUCGAAGUCUGCAACCCGACUUCGUGAAGCUGGAUUCGCUAGUAAUCGCGCAUCAGCCAUGGCGCGGUGAAUACGUUCCCGGGCCUUGUACACACCGCCCGUCAAGCCAUGAAAGCCGGGGGUACGGGAAGUACGUAACCGCAAGGAGCGUCCUAGG